AGUGAUUAAGCAUUUGGUUGCUAACCAAAAGGUCGGUGGUUUAAACCCACCAGCCACUC
rnacentral:tRNA from 1 species